UUUCCAUGAAACAAAAAUCUUUAAAAAUUUUAUCUAUUUUUUCCAGGAAUAUCUAUUGUACAGGAAUAUUUAUUGCAUUUUUCCAGGAAUGGUACUGGAUUGUUGAUCAUUUUGCAGAGCUACAAAAAAAAAACUGAAAUUCAAUUUUGCCAGUUCUAUUAAUAUUACGGAUCGAAGUAUAUGGUUCCUUCGAAAUAUAUUACACGAUGUCCCAGGAGAAAGAGGAUGCUUUUGUUUCGAGAGCUAUGUGAGUCGAUAUCAAGGGACAACCUCAAUCAUUGUUAUACUCGGUAUAUAUAUAUGCCAUCGGUAACAAGUUUCAUCUGCUAAAACUUGUGCGGAAAAUAUAUAGAAGGAAUCGAUCGAUUGUUCGAUAUUUCGAAAUAAGCUCCUGUAAUAUCCUCGUUUCGAAACCCAAGAUAAAUACAAUGAAAAAUGACUAAGCACCAUAAAGAAUGAAAUU